CCUACGGGGAGCUGCAGUGGGGAAUAUUGGACAAUGGGCGAAAGCCUGAUCCAGCCAUGCCGCGUGUGUGAAGAAUGCCUUCGGGUUGUAAAGCACUUUCAGUGGGGAAGAAAGCCUUGGGGCUAAUACCCUCGAGGAAGGACAUCACCCACAGAAGAAGCACCGGCUAACUCCGUGCCAGCAGCCGCGGUAAUACGGAGGGUGCGAGCGUUAAUCGGAAUUACUGGGCGUAAAGCGCGCGUAGGCGGUCUGAUAAGCCGGUUGUGAAAGCCCCGGGCUCAACCUGGGAACGGCAUCCGGAACUGUCAGGCUAGAGUGCAGGAGAGGAAGGUAGAAUUCCCGGUGUAGCGGUGAAAUGCGUAGAGAUCGGGAGGAAUACCAGUGGCGAAGGCGGCCUUCUGGACUGACACUGACGCUGAGGUGCGAAAGCGUGGGUAGCAAACAGGAUUAGAUACCCCAGUAGUC
rnacentral:rRNA from 1 species